GACGAACGCUGGCGGCGUGCCUAAUACAUGCAAGUCGAACGCAGUUGGGACGGGUGAGUAACACGUGGGUAACCUCCCAUCCUAGGGGAAAACACUUGGAAACAGGUGCUAAACCGCUACUUUUUUAUGGACCCUCUGUGCAUUAGCUAGGUGGUGGUGUAACGGCUCACCAAGGGCACGAGGCAUAGCCGACCUGAGAGGGGGAUCGGCCACACUGGGACUGAGACACGGCCCAGACUCCUACGGGAGGCAGCAGUAGGGAAUCUUCGGCAAUGGACGAAAGUCUGACCGAGCAACGCCGCGUGAGUGAAGAAGGUUUUCGGAUCGUAAAACUCUGUUGUUAGAGAAGCGGUAACUAAACAGAAAGCCACGGCUAACUACGUGCCAGCAGCCGCGGUAAUUG
rnacentral:rRNA from 1 species